rnacentral:lncRNA from 1 species
GGAGGAUGAUGUGGUCGAAUUUGGGAUUAAUUGGAGGAAAUUUGGCGCAUGAAAUGAUGAGAUAACCAUGUAUUUAGGGGUCAAAACAAGGCUUUGAACCCAACCGUAAGAACCAGGGGCCUAUUUGUGAAGAUUUCUAGGUGGUGGAGGGACAUAUCCAUGAGAAUUUCUUGAGAGUGGUGGGAGGACUGGUUGGUGAAUAUGGGAAAGGUGGGGGUUAGAUCGAAAAGGGGGUGUUUUUCUUCUUCUCUUUCCUUGGUUCAGGAACAGAGAAGGUGGGGGAGGGGAUUCCAGCGGUGGGCCGGCCGGCCGGGCCUCGCCGGCGGUGAGCCGAGUGGUGGGGGAGGUAGAGGAGGGUGAGGGGGUUCCGUUUGUGCCUUCACCUUGGGCGAGCGGCGGUAAGGAAGGGGGUGCCGGUGGUGGCUUAGUGGUGGUGGCGCGCGGCGCUUUGGUGGCGGCGGUGUUUGGCGAGGGGCGGCGCACGGGAGGUAGGGGCGAUGAGUUGGGUGGCGAAGGAGGCCGGGCGUCGCCUCCCCUUUGAUAGGCAGCGGGAGGAGUAGGGGAAAAUGGUGCUCGUAGGGCUCGGAUCGGCGCACAGGCAGCGUUGGGGAGGCGUCGACG